CUGGCAUAAUGAGGAAGACAAUUGGUGUCCGGUCUAUUUGAUGACAAAUUGCUCCUACUCAUUCUGA
rnacentral:snoRNA from 1 species